GUUCAGAGGUUUCUAGAACGAGGGAGAACUGUAGACUUGAAAAUGAGACAAUGAGACUAAAGACUUAAUUUCUAUAAUUUUCCCUAUUUUCACAAAUUUCUAUUAUGGAUUUGAACUGGAUUAAAAAUAACUAAAUGGACUACUGUUUUGAACCCAGAAAAGACAGCUGGAACAUACAACCUAUGGAUUUUGGCGAAGUAGACGUAGACGCCUAUCUUUAAGUGGAGUGGAGUGUGUCAAGAUGGAACUUGACACAGGACCGGCGCUGUCAAUAAUAUCAUCACUACUGUCAACUGUUGAAUGAAUUAGUGUCCCACUUGUUUACUUUCGAACCUGAAGAUGCUCCCACUUUUGACGCAAGGCUUCAUGGGACAUAGGAAACUUGUGGAUACAGACUUUUUCCAGAUAUGGAGCUGGAGCAGCAGAUUCUUUCCUUGCCCAUCUGUUGCAUCCACAGUGGGGAGGUCUGCCGCUGAACCGGACAGAACAAGCUCCUACAGGUGAACAAAUGACACACAAAUACAAAUCUCAGUCAUACUUGUACGUAUUUGUAAGUACAUCUUUGUAGGACUGAAUGCAUUUUUUAUGGCUGCUUAAGUCCUUUGAAAGUGUCUGCAUUGUUAGUAGGCUACUGUAGUAUGUAUAAAUGCCAACAAUAUACAGUGUCGUUUAAAUGUUUGGGUUAGUAUUUUUUAUUUAAUUUUAUUGAUGUAUUUAUUUAAUUUUAUUUUUUUGAAGGAAAUUGAUUCUUUUAUUUAGCAAGGGCACAUUAAAUUGAUUGCAAGUUUAUAGUAAAAUCAUUCAAAAUGUUACAAAACCCUUCUAUUUUAUUUAAAUGUUUUUCUUUUGAAUCUUUCUGUUUACUUAAGAAUCUUAAAAACUAUUUAUCAUGAUUUCUGAAGUGACACCUGGUGGCCGUGUUUGGUACUGCCUUUCUUUUUUCUUUUUUUUUUUCUUUUUUAUUAAUCUGUUUCAGUAGUAGGAAACUAGCAGGAAACAAGUAGGAAACUAACUACAAUCAGUAGAUAUGCAUAUAUGCACAUAAUUAUAUGUACAGUUAUAUAUGUAUGUUUAGUGUACAUAUUAUUACUCAGACCUCAGACUCAUAUGGUCCAAGAAGCAAAAUUAGCAUAAAAGGAAGAAAGAAAGAAAUUGUUAACUAGCCAUUUAGUGUCUAGCCAUGCGUUGUCUUGAGAUUUUUUAUUAUUAUUAUUAUUAUUAUUAUUAUUACUAUUAUUAUUAUUAAUACAAAAAAAUUACAGAGGAAAAAAAAUAUACUAUGGAGUGCCACCUUCUGGAAAUAAAAAUCACAUUAAUUUUCUGCAUAGGGAUAUUGUUUAUAAUUUGAUAGUCUUUUGCAAAUCUUGUAGUUCUUCUAGUUCUAUCCCUCAUUAAUGCUAUCAAGUACAGUUUUGCAUCUUUACGUUUUUGUCUGAUUUACAAAUGUGUUUUUGCUUCUAAUCAAAGUUUGUAAUGUUAUUCAUUCCUUAUCUGGUUGGCUGGUUUGGAAAUUUCCAGUAACCUUGUUAUUUGUUUAUGAGUUUUGUAAUGUGUUUAUGACCAUCAUGUAUGCAGCCUUCUCUGUUUCAGUCACGUUUUUGAAAUCAGGUCUUCUUCUAAAAUGAAUUAUCACCUCACAGGAAAGGGCUGAAACCUUGCUUUUGUAGGCUACGUGUGGUUUACUGUGCUCUACAUAACAAAAGCAAUGCAGUAUUGCUAUGAUGUUCCAACCUACUUUCAAAUCAUAUGAAGUCUUCGUUGGUGUAGGUUUCUAGAAUGAGGGAGAACUGUAGACUUGAAAAUGAGCACUAAAGUCUUCAUUUCUACUGUUUUCCAUAUUUUCUAUUUCACAAAUUUCUAUUAUCAUUUGGAAUGGAUGGAAAAUAAUUAAAUGGACUACUAUUUUGAACCCAGAGAAGAUAACUGGAACAUACAACCUAUGGAUUUUGGAGGGAAAAAUUUGCUGCAAAUUUGCUCAAGAACACCCAGUGGAGAAAUAUAUUCUUUUGACGCAAGAGGCUCCGAUUGAUGAGUUUUCAUCUAGUCAAGCUAAGAUUUCUAUCCAGUGUAAGGAGAACUCUGAGGGCCAAGAUGGAAUUGUGCUGUUUGACACAGAAGCCUUUCCCAUGGUCAACAUCCUCCGUCCUACCAGUGUAGAAGAUCUUCCCGAUGGUCAAGGUUAACAGCAGUACCAUCAUCGGUUAUUCAGAGAUAUUUUGAAGAAAAAAAUAUAUAUUUUUUUGUUCUCUUCAUAAUUUGGUCAUGAAAAUGUUGUAAAGUGUUGAAUUAUUAAAAGUUAAUUUUUUUUGUAAACCUGCUGUUUUCAAGACUAGAGCUCAUAUAAAACCACACACAAACGCACAGCAGUAUUACUAGGCUUCCACCGAGCACCAUCAUACCUUCACAGAAGCCUGCAGCACAUCUGGGCCCAUAUUCAUAAAGCUUCUAAACAUCCACUCAGAGAGCUCCUAAUUUAGCUUAAAAAAUUUCUAACUAGGGAUCUUUAUAGAGACAGAAUUGUUGCAUAAUUCCAAAUAAAUAGAUUAUUAUCCACAAAUAAAUGUAAAAAGAUUAACAAACAUUAAACAUUGACAAAUAAAAUAGAAUGAGAUCCACAAAUAUCUUAUGUCACAAACACAACUUUGGUUGGCAUUCAUUCGUGAAUCGCUGUGUGCGUUUGUGGAUUUUGAAACAUUUUUUAGUGUCAAGACGCUGACAAAUCCACAAAUGUGUGGACUUCACCCAAAGUCUACUCAAGCCAAUCAGAUAACAGCCAUUUCGCUGACCAAUCGUAGCAUGUUCUCACCAUAGCCAAUCAUGUUUUGCUUUAACAUCAGAACGGGAACAGGUUCAUUUAUUCACACUCCUAUGAAGAACUGCAUUGUAUGGACACACUUUCAAAUUGAGCUGAACUGCUGUUUGUGUGGUGUAAAAUAACAAUUUAGGAUCAUUCACAGAUCCAGAGCACCAUCAGUAAUACCCUUGUGACGUGCCCAAAGCAACCAGAAAUCAUUAUAAGCUGUUGCAGAGCAGCGUGACAGCAAAUGGAGCAUAAGACACAGCGUAAGCCAUGGCGCAAUGGGUUAUUAAGCUUUUUAAAGCACAAUCGCGAUAACAAAUAUACAACAGGGCAUAAUAACAUAUGUAAUAUCAGAUAUGGGGCCAAAUGACAAUCUGGCUACCUGCCUUAGCAUCACUGCAACCUGUACUGGAGAUUUUUGAGUGGACAAUGUAAUGUAAAUAAAACCCUUUUGUGCUGUUAAGUAACGUUUAUACAAUCAAAACUAUGAUUCAUAUGAAAUUUUUUUUUGCAUGAUCAAGUGUUGCAACCAAUAAAUUGCUCGUCUUACAUUUAUAUACAUUUAUAUUCAACAAACCUGUAAAACAACAACAACA